CCCACUCCCCGGCCCCGGCUCGCUCCCGGCGCCUUGACCUCAGCCGGCGGGAGGUGUCGGGUUUCAGCCGCAAGCGCACGCGCGCGCACCGACGGACCGCCCGGAGCACCCAGCGCGGUCACAGCCCGCCGGCGUGGAGAAGCCCUGUGGAAGGAAAGGCAGACCCGAAGGACUGCUGGCCUUGACGUCUCCGGAUCAACGGCAACCUGAAAACCAUCUGGGUUGAGACGGGGCUUGAAGGGCUCAGGAGUGGAGAGAGGGGUCUGCCCAGCCCCCACCCACCCUCACCACCUGGGCCAUGCUCGCCACUGCAGCUGCCGAGCCCUCAAAAACAUCUCCAUUUUCUCUUCCCUGCCCCACAUUAGUGGCCAUUCUUCAAAGCUCUGCUUAAAUCUAUCUUCCUAGAAGGCUUUCCCGUCCCUGCCUCUGGAAGUCACCUUUUCAGGCCGGCCUUGCCCAUUCGGGUGGCGCUGGGCCGGGAAUGAUAGGCCAGCCAGGAGAAGACUGUCCUCCUGGCCACCAACUGACCCAGCUCCUGCAUCUCCACCCGCAGCCUCGAAAUCUGUACCAAAACCCCGGCCAGGCCUCCACCCUGUGACCCAGCCUCUAACCCCACCCCCACCCCCACCCCACCUCCCCCAGCCAGGAGCAGCUUCCUACCGUGCAGACUCAAGGCCCCUCCCCCUGCAAGCACCCCUCCAUCUCAGGCUACCCCCAAGCCACCCCCAGACAACAGCCUUCUGAGCCACCAGCUCAGAUCCCCCCCCCGCCCCCCGACACCCCUCCAGCUCUCUAGUACUCAGAUAUGGGAAGCUAAUUGGACAAUGAAGUUGAGUAGGGAGGAAUCACGCUCUCUGGAGACAGCUGGCAUCUAUAAAAGAGAAAUAUUUGCA